rnacentral:rRNA from 1 species
CUACGUGCCAGCAGCCGCGGUAAUACGUAGGGUGCGAGCGUUAAUCGGAAUUACUGGGCGUAAAGCGGGCGCAGACGGUUACUUAAGCAGGAUGUGAAGUCCCCGGGCUCAACCUGGGAACUGCGUUCUGAACUGGGUGACUAGAGUGUGUCAGAGGGAGGUAGAAUUCCACGUGUAGCAGUGAAAUGCGUAGAGAUGUGGAGGAAUACCGAUGGCGAAGGCAGCCUCCUGGGAUAACACUGACGUUCAUGCCCGAAAGCGUGGGUAGCAAACAGGAUUAGAUACCCUGGUAGUCCACGCCCUAAACGAUGUCGAUUAGCUGUUGGGCAGCAUGACUGCUUAGUAGCGAAGCUAACGCGUGAAAUCGACCGCCUGGGGAGUACGGUCGCAAGAUUAAAACUCAAAGGAAUUGACGGGGACCCGCACAAGCGGUGGAUGAUGUGGAUUAAUUCGAUGCAACGCGAAGAACCUUACCUGGUCUUGACAU